GUGGUAAGUGAGGACAGAGAUCGGGAGUGGUACGUAGGGUGCGAGGUGGAAUUGGAAUUAGGGGGCGGAAAGGCGGCGCAGGAGGCAGAGGAAGUCGAGUGUGAAAGCCCCGGGCUUAACUUGGGAAUUGCGAGCGAAACUACUUGGCUGGAGUGUGGCAGAGGAAGGUGGAAUUCCACGUGUAGCGGUGAAAUGCGUAGAGAUGUGGAGGAACACCAAUGGCGAAGGCAGCCUUCUGGGCCAACACUGACGCUCAUGCACGAAAGCGUGGGGAGCAAACAGGAUUAGAUACCCGUAGUC
rnacentral:rRNA from 1 species